rnacentral:rRNA from 1 species
UACGUAGGGAGCAAGCGUUGUCCGGAAUCAUUGGGCGUAAAGCGCGCGUAGGUGGCCUCAUAAGUCCGCUGUGAAAGUCAAAGGCUCAACCUUUGAAAGCCGGUGGAUACUGUGAGGCUAGAGUACGGAAGAGGCGAGUGGAAUUCCUGGUGUAGCGGUGGAAUGCGCAGAUAUCAGGAGGAACACCAAUAGCGAAGGCAGCUCGCUGGGACGUUACUGACACUGAGGCGCGAAAGCGUGGGGAGCAAAAAGG